rnacentral:rRNA from 1 species
GACGAACCGUGCGAACGUUAUUCGGAAUCACUGGGCUUAAAGCGCGUGUAGGCGGCCCGGCGCGUCUUUCGCUGAAAUCCCCCGGCUCAACCGGGGAAGGGCGGGGAUACGGCCGGGCUGGAGGGGGGUAGGGGGAUCGGGAACUUCCGGUGGAGCGGGUGAAAUGCGUUGAGAUCGGAAGGAACGCCCGCGGCGAAAGCGCGGUCCUGGACCCCACCUGACGCUGAGACGCGAAAGCCAGGGAGCGAACGGGAUUAGACGUACCCUAG